UAGGGAAUCUUCGGCAAUGGGGGGAACCCUGACCGAGCAACGCCGCGUGAGUGAAGAAGGUUUUCGGAUCGUAAAGCUCUUUUGUUAAGGAAGAACGAGUGUGAGAAUGGAAAGUUCAUACUGUGACGGUACUUUACCAGAAAGGGACGGCUAACUACGUGCCAGCAGCCGCGGUAAUACGUAGGUCCCGAGCGUUGUCCGGAUUUAUUGGGCGUAAAGCGAGCGCAGGCGGUUAGAUAAGUCUGAAGUUAAAGGCAGUGGCUCAACCAUUGUAGGCUUUGGGAACUGUUUAGCUUGAGUGGAGAAGGGGAGAGUGGAAUUCCAUGUGUAGCGGUGAAAUGCGUAGAUAUAUGGAGAAACACCGGUGGCGGAAGCGGCUCUCUGGUCUGUAACUGACGCUGGGGCUCGAAAGCGUGGGGAGCGAACAGG
rnacentral:rRNA from 1 species